rnacentral:lncRNA from 1 species
CACUAGCUUUGGCGACCUGAGCAUUCAUGGAAUGUUUUCUGGCAUCCAAUACAUUGAGUACUUCAGUUGUAAGUCCGUAAGCAGUCCUCUUUGAAAGAGAAAAUGUAUACAUGCUUCAGUGAAUGGCCACCCCCUUCUAUUUCAGUAACAGUGCAAUUGCUAUCGGUACUUGCUAAUCAGUAUGAACUAGCAUUGCGGGGAAAACUUUCUCCAAAGCUCUUACAGAGUCCCCAAACUUUUUCAACAUAACCACGCAUCGAUUCACUUCAGCUACAACAUAAUACUUUCCGUUCUUAGUCAUAUCUAUGACUGUUAAAAUCUGCAUUCUUAUUUUCAUAUUGUGUUCUGUAUUAUUAGUUUUGUCUAAAGCCUGAAUUGAUGCCUUUUCAGGUGUAAAGGAAGUGAAGUGUGAACCCAGUGUUUCUUUUGACUACUCCCAAGUCUGAAAUGAAUUCCAUGAGGAGGAAAAGGCUGAAUUGAGUGCUUGAAAUAAAGGAGGAGCAUCCUAAGAAGCAGGUAUUUGCUGACUAACUAUAAUAAUUUUCUCUUUUUAUUAAAAAUGAAGCGUUGUGCAUCAUUAAUUUAUCUUUCUGGACUUGGUUUAAGUUAAUGUCCGCUUGAGUGUUUGGUAAUGCUGAGAUGUAAUUGUACAGCUGCCCAUGCCCUUUCAGUGCAUUUGUGCGUUCGCGCUCUCAGUUUAGAAGUGCUUCCUUUUGUACAAUUGGUUUUUUGUCCAAUUCAGGUCGCACUGAAGAAAAUGUUUGUUGCAUGUUUGUGUUUGUUUUUUCAAGCGUGGCUUGUUAUCAUUAUUUUGUGCAGUAACCACCCUUUUGGGUUUGCUGCAUAUGGUCAAUCUUGUCGUAAAUCUACUAUAGGUGUAAGUUUUUGCCCUUAUGUCCUAUGAAAACCUUACUCUUUCACGUCUCCAGUCAGGUUGGAGAAAAAGAUCAGAGUUUCAUCUGUUGUGAAAGUGGAAGGUAAUUAGACGUCAGAAGAUUACAAGGAAAGAUAAAGUAUGUCUACUUAUGUCGUUGUUAUUCUUAGAGUAAAAUGCAUCAUAGGUCCUAUAACUAUCCAAGGUGUGUCACUUUAGUCCUAUAACUAUCAAAGUGCAUAUUUGGGUCCCAAAACUAUUUUGAGUCGUUCACUGCAGGUCCUAUGGUCGCCCCAGCAGCGUUGACCGUCCGACGUGUCACCUGGACCGGUGCCACAUCGACCAGAGGGGCCCACCAGGCUAAACAAUGAAGCGUUUAUUUGCAGGAAAGCCCUUGAAAUCUCAGCUCGUCUCAUUCUCAGGACGGAGGUACUACUUAUGUAAUGUGGUACUGCAUCAUGCAGAGUGCAACCCAGUACCACAUUACAUAGUUGCAAGCUUUAGUGUGUAUCUAUGUUUAUGUAAGAGCACUCUUUAUGUAAUGACAAUAUGAUGUGCUACUUCCUGGAAUUGUGGCAAUUCUCAUCUAUAUAUUUGCCUGUUAAGUUGCAACAUCAUUUCUCUCUUCUAUGAUUGUCCAGACCAAGUAUCAUUUAUCAUUUGUAAUCUUAGAGAGAUGGUGUGCAAUAUAUAUUCAUUUGUCAUUUGCAUGAUCAUUUGCCGCGCUGGCUUGUUCCUGCUACAUCUUGCUGCCGUCGAGCUUGUUCCAAACAUGGCAGAACUGAUGAAAGAGAGAUGAGAUUGCAGAGAGGAGGGCUGCGGCUGGAGAGCAAACAGUUUGAUGGACCAAAUUGCAAAAUGUAUCAACCACCAAUGGCGGGAAAUCUUCCACCACGCGCCCUGGGUCGUUCUGGCACUGGUCCAGGUGACACGUCAGCCAACAAUCACGGCUGGGGCGACCAUAGGACCUGCAGUGAACGACUCAAAAUAGUUUUGGGACCCAAAUCUGCACUUUGAUAGUUAUAGGACUAAAGUGACACACCUUGGAUAGUUAUAGGACCUAUGAUGCAUUUUACUCUUAUUCUUACUAUGGAUGAUUUCUGUUGUUACAACCUUUUUUUCUAGAGCAAAACAGUAGAUUUCCUUACUGCAUGUAUUUAUAUUACAAGUUUAAAAGGAUACACAGCAAAACAUAAAAUAAAUAAAACAAAUAGUACAAGGCAGAGCCCUUUUAUCUCUUUAAUGUCGGGGCUUGCUCUGAACAAAGAAAAUACUACCGCUGAUACAAAGUUGUACUGAAUGAACGAUAAUUAAUAAUAUGGAUUCGAAGAAGUAUGUUUAAUUAUGAGUAAUUUUUUAGGUAAUAUCCAUCUAGGUUGGUUUGCUUGCUGCUGCUGCAAUUGUUAUUCUAGGUUGGUUUGCUUGCUGCUUUUAUUACUUUAGAUUUAUUGUAUUGCUAUUUUUUUCUUAUUCAGGCGGAUAAAUUUACACGGAAUCAUACCACAUGAGCUCACAUCGCGAUCCACAGACGAUCCAUCUCUUUCAAGAGCGGCCGUUGUCCCACGACAUAGUUUCUUGACCUGCCAACCAUGAUUCAUAGGAUAGGAAGUGGUGCUCUCUCCCGGUGCAAUGCACGGGCAUUUGUGCUAGUGUUACUAAGCGUACCAAAUUUCACUGGAAGGACUUGAAGCAUGUCAUAAACUUUGUUGAUAAUCUGACAGAGAUAGCACAGCGUAUGAACGCUGGAUUUUGGAUGGGAUUAAUUAUACCUAUGGUGCACACAAUGAACAAGACCAAUUGUGUUCACAAAACGCUG